rnacentral:rRNA from 1 species
CUUGACUGUAUCCUGGAGUUGGGUUCGGGCUUUUCUUGCGCAGCCUAGGUGGGAGGCUAUGAAGAUUUCCUUCCGGGGAAGUUGGAGCCAUCAGUGAGAGACCACUCUGGAGAGGCUAGAAUCCUAAUGGUGAUCCUUGAAUCAGGACACUUGACAGUUUCAGGUGGGCAGUUUUUCUGGGGCGGAAGCCUCAUAAAGGGUAACUGAGGCACGCAAAGGUCCCCUCAGUCUGGACGGAAAUCAGACAACGAGUGUAAAGGCAAAAGGGGGCUUGACUGCAAGACCUACAAGUCGAGCAGGAGCGAAAGCUGGCCUUAGUGAUCCGACGGUACCGUGUGGAGGGGCCGUCGCUCAACGAAUAAAAGUUA